rnacentral:rRNA from 1 species
UAGGGAAUCUUCGGCAAUGGACGAAAGUCUGACCGAGCAACGCCGCGUGAGUGAAGAAGGUUUUCGGAGCGUAAAACUCUGUUGUUAGAGAAGAACAAGGACGUUAGUAACUGAACGUCCCCUGACGGUAUCUAACCAGAAAGCCACGGCUAACUACGUGCCAGCAGCCGCGGUAAUACGUAGGUGGCAAGCGUUGUCCGGAUUUAUUGGGCGUAAAGCGAGCGCAGGCGGUUUCUUAAGUCUGAUGUGAAAGCCCCCGGCUCAACCGGGGAGGGUCAUUGGAAACUGGGAGACUUGAGUGCAGAAGAGGAGAGUGGAAUUCCAUGUGUAGCGGUGAAAUGCGUAGAUAUAUGGAGGAACACCAGUGGCGAAGGCGGCUCUCUGGUCUGUAACUGACGCUGAGGCUCGAAAGCGUGGGGAGCAAACAGG